ACAAAUGUACUUCUAACAAGGCACACCUGUUAAUUAAAAUGCAUUCUAGGUGACUACCUCAUGAAGCUGGUUGAGAGAAUGCCAAGAGUGUGCAAAGCUGUCAAGGCAAAGGGUGGCUGCUUUGAAGAAUCUCAAAUAUAAAAUAUAUUUUGAUUUGUUUUAACACUUUUUUGUUGUUUUGGUUACGACAUGAUUCCAUGUGUUAUUUCAUAGUUUUGAUGUCUUCACUAUUAUUCUACAAUGUAAAAAAUAAACCCUUGAAUGAGUAGGUAUCAACUUUUGACUUGUACUGUAAGUACAAAGGGACUUUCUUACUUUUACUUGUCAUGCUCUCUGUCUGGUUUCUGGAAAAGUGACCAAAAAGGCAACAUAAUGUAAUUUGACAUCACGUCGUUGGGGUGAUGUUGCAGGCGGUAACAUUCCUACACAAUCAUUUUAAAGAAACUUUGAAAAGAGGAUGACAACUACAGCAUUGUAGCAGACAGGAUCAUAGAUAUAAAGUGCAAAGCUAGACAAAGGGAGGUGGAUGGGUGGGAGUGCACUGUUAUGAUGAUGACGACGAUAUGAUUCGUAAUGGUUUCAGGUUACAUAUCUGCCCCCACCCCUUGGUUUCCAUUGGAUGGGGACGUUAGUGGACUAAUUUCCAUAAUUUUGCUAAUAAAUAGUUGCUGUGGUAAAACCACAGCAUCCUUCACAAUGAUGACUUGUGUUUCUUGUCAAUUUUGGGUGACUGGAAAAAAAGAAAAGAAAAACAACAGCCACCUUUUGGCUUGCAACAUUGACAUACAAUGAGUAUACCAAACAUUAGGAACACGUUCCUAUUGAGGACCCGCCUUUUUCCCUAAGAACAGCCUCAAUUCGUCGGGGCAUGGACUCUAAAAGGUGUCGAAAGCGUCCCACAGGGAUGCUGGCUUAUGUUGACUACAAUGUUUCCCACAGUUGUCAAGUUAGCUGGUUGUCCUUUGGGUGGUGGACCAUUCUUGAUAUACACGGGGGGAAACCAGCAACGUUGCAGUUCUUGACAGACUCAAACAAGCGCGCCUGGCACCUACCACCAUACCCCAGUCAAAGGAAACAAAAUCUUUUGUCUUGCCUAUUCACCUGUAAUGGCACACAUACACAAUCCAUUUCUCAAUUGUCUCAACUUAAAAAUUCUUAUUUAGCUUGUCUCCUCCCCUACAUCUACGCUGAUUUGAAGUGGAUUUAACAAGUGACAUCAAUAAAGGACCAUAGCUUUCACCUGAUCAGUAUGUCAUGGAAAGAGCAGGUGUUCUUAAUGAUUUGAAGUGGGAAAUGCACUCCACAAAUUUGCAUUGAACAAUACAUGUGGUAAUUUAUAACAUUAGUUAGUUCACAGCACCUUCUAUAGGUGAUCAAUGCAUACUGCAUACUAUACUGCUGGUCUGUUGUAGUAGUACAUACUGUAGGUAGUAGCACAUUAACAUCAGGGAUUUUUCUUCUACAAAAAACAAGCACACAAGGAAUCCUCAAGAAGACUAAACUGAUGGGCAUCACGGAUACAUUCAGAGGAGGUUAUCCAAUCAGUUCUUCUACAUCUACAAGACAAACCCAAAGCUAAAUCUGUAGAUAUGCCAAACAGCCAUUAUGACUUGUUACUCACUUUGUUCUCUCUAGCAUACACUUUAACCCACAUGCAUGUCUGUGGCAAUGGUUGGUUGGAUUUUGGUCCCUAGACCACUCAAGUCUCAACAACACCUUUCCCUUGUGUAAGUUCAACUUCUCAGGGACCACAUUAUGAUAAAGAAUUCUGCAUGCACACAUAUCAGUAGAUUGCUAUGACACUGAUGUGGUUCCUGAGAGUUUAAAACUAUUUUCCAGGCAUUGUGGGCUAUCAUCUAAAACAAGACCAAAUCAAUAAAAACUCCCAAGAUGCCAUGCUUACUCUACUUCCUGGUAAACACGUGCUUACAACUCAAUGUGUUGCAUGGCAAUACAUUUUUCUGUUUUCUAAUGUUAACUAAGUUCAGUUUGCUUUAUUGUUUGCUAAAGUAAGAACACUUAACUACUGUAUUCACCAUAUUUCAGAUAACUUUCAUUGGGUCUGCCUGUGUUGGUGUGCCAAGUGAUGAGACUGGAGAAGUGAACAGACCGCUAGCUGCAAAAAAAUCUGUGUGUAGAUUCCAUUUUACAUAUGAGUGAUCCCAGGAAGUGAACCCACUACCCAGGCAUUACAAGUGCCAUGCUCUUAUCAACUGAGAUACAAAGGACCAGUAGAUUUUUCUGCCUGAUGGUUGGUGGACGUCACUCCUGCCUCAGCAGUAGGAGUGGGUAAGCCAGGCCCUGUUUCAGACGGACAGUUCUGGGAAUGUUGAGUACAUUCCACCAGAGCUACAUUUUUUUCCAACCAUGACCUGGAAAACGCUGCACACUCCUGCUCAUGUUCCCAGGUGAUUUUAUUUAUAACAACGUUUCAACCCUUAGGUCUUCAUCAGGCAUCCACAUCCCAAGUGGGGGUGGAAAGUCCUAUAUAUAGAGGCAGUACUCAGUACUUUCAAUUCCUGAAACAGGAGGUAAAAAAUAUAUAACAGGUUCACAAUAUUAAACAUUCAAUGUAUCAAAAUAUAUACACAAGGAAGGUGAUCAAUAUGUGCCGUUAUAUAUACAGUACCAGUCAAAAGUUUGGACACUCCUCAUUCCAGGGUUUUUCUUUAUUUUUACCUUUUUCUACAUUGUAGAAUAAUAGUGAAGACAUGAAAACUAUGAAAUAACACAUGGAAUCAUGUAGUAACCAAAAAAGUGUUAAACAAAUUCUUCAAAGAGAUUCUUCAGAGUAGCCACCCUUUGCCUUGAUAACAGAUUUCCUUUGAAGAAGUUUCCUCUCAAUGUCCCCUCCCCUGCGUGACAUCUUGAUCAUUUCUAUUCCAAUGUAUCUCAGAGAACUAAUAGGAUGUCCAGCUGUACAAAAUGAACAGCAACCAGAUGUUUUGUUGAUCUUGUAUAAGCUGGAUAUCCUAUUAGUUCUCUGUGUUCAUUUGGAAUAGAAAUGGUCAAGACGUCACAGAGGGGAGGGGAUGUGCGUAUGUUCUUCUUUUGUACGCCAACCAUGACCUGUGAUCGGGGUCACCUGAUGUAUUAUAAUAAUUGAUUAUGCUUAUGUUGUAUUAAUAGAAGGGGAAGGGCUUAAAGACCCUCCCCACUACAUUUAUAUGAUCCUGGACUACAGAUUAACUAUAUAAUAUGCAUUAUAAGGUUUAAUACUGUUCCACAGUUAUUUUCUAGUCUCUGCCUCUUAUAAGGAACGGUCUGAGAGAUGUGUGAGCUAUUGCAGUCAAAACAGGGUGUCUGUGAGAAAGUGCCUCAAGGCUAAAAGAGAUACAUAAACACAGACCCCUGCAGGAGAGUAAAUAGAUAAGAGACAAGUCAGACACCAUUGUAAACCACACAGGAAUGGACAAUUACUGCUGAGCCCUUAGAAAACACUGGACUAUUGUUUUCUCCUGCAAGUUUGUAUAACUGUAUAUGCAUGGGCUUGGUCUCAUGAGUAGAAGGUGUUGACGUAGGCAGUUACAUCACUAGGGGUUGACUGCAAACAUAUUAAGGCAACUUUGACCUUUUUUAUUUUUCAGAACUUAUUCUGAAACAUGUGUGCUAUGUUUCCGUUGUCAACUUCUGUCUGCAAUUGCAUUAAUAAAGGUUUGAUUGAUUUACUUAAA